UUUCCCUCUGACCAAUAGUGGGGAAGUUUCAUCCUCCCCUCCCUUUCCCUCGCUCCCUCACACCCAUGCUUCAGGCCCUGGGAUCACCAGCUGCACCUCCCAGCUCUUCACCAUUCCACAGCCCCAUCUUUCCUUCCGUGCGCUCUGGGUGAUCUUUUCCUCUCUGAUCCUCCAUUUCUACUGCAGACAAGGGGGAUGAGGAGAGGAGAAGGCAAGUUUUCCCCUUCCCCUACAGGAGCAUCAGCAAAGGGAAUGGGGGCUCAUCUGUAACACCAUCUACUUAAGCUAUGGCAAGAUUAUUUUAGAGAGUGAGGGAGCUGUCAAGCAUUUAGAUGCCAUUCUCGCUUUGGUCCUGCAACACUACCACAACUGUAUUGUGGAAAAGGUACUUCCUGCUUAUUCUUUCUCUCCCACACCCCAUCCCUGCCUUCUCUCUUCCCCUCCAAGGACAAGAUGCCUGGCCUUGAAUGGAACUCAGUGUGGGGCUAGUGCAGUGACUUCCUUGACCACAUUUCAAUGCUUUUACUUAAUACUGCUACUCUGAAACUCUAACCAGCCCAAGGAAGAGCCUACAGAAAUUUUAGGGCUGUUGAAAAGUGUCACCUCCCCUGCUGGCAUGCUAUGUAACAUGCUUUUGGGCUCUUCACUGCCCUCUCCAAGGGACGAGGAGGAACAGGGUAUGAACCUGAAGCUGGAUUAUCUGAACGCCCUGACCAAGCUGACAAACAUCCUGAGCAGCCAGCCCCUGGCCUUUCAAUUCAAGUUCCCUCAGAAACUGGAAAUUGUAACCUUCAUGGUGGAGCUAAUCAAGGAGGAGCCCGUUGAACUCCAUCUCCAGCCCCAUUAGGCAGAAGGCAAUGAACAUCAUCACUGACUUCAG
rnacentral:lncRNA from 1 species